rnacentral:rRNA from 1 species
UGAGUAACGCGUGAGUAACCUGCCCUGGAUUGGGGGACAACAGUUGGAAACGACUGCUAAUACCGCAUAAGCCCACGGAGCCGCAUGGCCCUGAGGGAAAAGGAUUUAUUCGCUUCAGGAUGGACUCGCGUCCAAUUAGCUAGUUGGUGAGGUAACGGCCCACCAAGGCGACGAUUGGUAGCCGGACUGAGAGGUUGAACGGCCACAUUGGGACUGAGACACGGCCCAGACUCCUACGGGAGGCAGCAGUGGGGGAUAUUGCACAAUGGGGGAAACCCUGAUGCAGCGACGCCGCGUGGAGGAAGAAGGUUUUCGGAUUGUAAACUCCUGUCGUUAGGGACGAUAAUGACGGUACCUAACAAGAAAGCACCGGCUAACUACGUGCCAGCAGCCGCGGUAAAACGUAGGGUGCAAGCGUUGUCCGGAAUUACUGGGUGUAAAGGGAGCGCAGGCGGACCGGCAAGUUGGAAGUGAAAACCAUGGGCUCAACCCAUGAAUUGCUUUCAAAACUGCUGGCCUUGAGUAGUGCAGAGGUAGGCGGAAUUCCCGGUGUAGCGGUGGAAUGCGUAGAUAUCGGGAGGAACACCAGUGGCGAAGGCGGCCUACUGGGCACCAACUGACGCUGAGGCUCGAAAGUAUGGGUAGCAAACAGGAUUAGAUACCCUGGUAGUCCAUACCGUAAACGAUGAUUACUAGGUGUUGGAGGAUUGACCCCUUCAGUGCCGCAGUUAACACAAUAAGUAAUCCACCUGGGGAGUACGACCGCAAGGUUGAAACUCAAAGGAAUUGACGGGGGCCCGCACAAGCAGUGGAGUAUGUGGUUUAAUUCGAAGCA